GUGCUUGCUUCAACAGCAUAUAUACUAAAAUUGGAAUGAUACAGAGAAGAAGAGCAUGGCCCUGCGCAAAGGUGACAUGCCAAUUUGUGACAGCAUUCCAUAUUUCU